ensembl:snRNA U6 U6 spliceosomal RNA
GCGCUCACUUCGGCAGCACAUAUACUAAAAUCGGAAUGAUAAAGAGAAGAUUAGCAUGGCCCCGCUAAUUCGUGAAGCAUUCUAUAUUUUU